AGGGCCAAAGUGCCUAAUGGCUAGAAAAAAAGGGAAUGUUGACAAAAGAAAACAUAGUGGGAGAGAUAAAAUAAGGAUAUCAAAGGGUGGAAGCCAAUGAGAGAUGAAUCAAAGAAAGCAAGUUGCCACUAAACAAAAGAAGCAAAUGAAAGUAUAGAGUGAACUAGAUCGAGGACUGCGCUCCUCCUCCCCCCGCUGACGGCCUCCCUGGCCAUCGCCGGUCUUCAACUCCGCUGUUGGUGGGCUCCUUAGCUUGUUCCCUGCUCCCGUUUCGCUCCAUGGCGGGGCUCCUCGCUUGGGGCGCAUCAUGGAGUCGAUUGCUCCCCUAAGGGGGAUGUGACUAGCUCUGGUUGCUCUGUUCACCAGACAUGUGAUCCUUGUUAUUGUGGUCUUCCUGUCGCUUACAAGUACAUACGAGAGUGAGAAGAUUCAUGUUGAUCAAGUUUUGGAGAAGGUUCAUCCACCAAUGGUGUUGGUACCAAAUGCCACCUGGACAUGUCAUCUUGGCAAUUAGUGCAAUUAUUUUGGUCUUGAAAUGUGAUCUGGACAUGUUAUAUUGGCAUAUAUACAUGUAUAGUGUCAUUAUUUUGGUCUUGAGAUAUGAUCUGGACUUGUCAUAUUGGCAUAUAGUGUCGUUAUUUUGGUCUAAUGUGAUUUGCGCAUGUAAACCAUUCUAGAUGUGAUCAGGGCAUGUGAACCAUUCUAUGUAUAUAUAUGAUGCUUAAAUAUGACUCUGACCUCUAA